UACGUAGGGUGCAAGCGUUGUCCGGAAUUAUUGGGCGUAAAGAGCGCGCAGGCGGUCGUUCAAGUCGCGUGUGAAAGCCCCCGGCUCAACUGGGGAGGGUCACGCGAUACUGAUCGACUGGAAGGCAGGAGAGGGUAGUGGAAUUCCCGGUGUAGUGGUGAAAUGCGUAGAUAUUGGGAAGAACACCGGUGGCGUAGGCGACUAGCUGGGCUGUAACUGACGCUGAGGAACGAAAGCCAGGGGAGCGAAUGGG
rnacentral:rRNA from 1 species